rnacentral:rRNA from 1 species
UGCCAGACUCCUACGGGAGGCAGCAGUGAGGAAUAUUGGUCAAUGGGCUUACGCCUGAACCAGCCAAGUCGCGUGAGGGAAGACUGCCCUAUGGGUUGUAAACCUCUUUUGUCAGGGAGCAACGCCGGCUACGUGUAGCCGGACUGAGAGUACCUGAAGAAGAAGCCCCGGCUAACUACGUGCCAGCAGCCGCGGUAAUACGUAGGGGGCAAGCGUUAUCCGGAUUCACUGGGUGUAAAGGGAGCGUAGACGGCGACGCAAGUCUGGAGUGAAAGCCCGGGGCCCAACCCCGGGACUGCUCUGGAAACUGCGUCGCUGGAGUACGGGAGGGGCAGGCGGAAUUCCUGGUGUAGCGGUGAAAUGCGUAGAUAUCAGGAGGAACACCGGCGGCGAAGGCGGCCUGCUGGACCGUGACUGACGUUGAGGCUCGAGAGCGUGGGGAGCAAACAGGAUUAGAUACCCUUGUA